rnacentral:rRNA from 1 species
GACGAACGCUGGCGGCGUGCUUAACACAUGCAAGUCGAACGGAAAGGCCCGGCUUUUGUGGGGUGCUCGAGUGGCGAACGGGUGAGUAACACGCGAGUAACCUGCCCUUGACUUUGGGAUAACUUCAGGAAACUGGGGCUAAUACCGGAGAGGAGCUCCUGCUGCAUGGGGGGGGUUGGAAAGUUUCGGCGGUGGGGUAUGGUCUAGCGGCUUAUCGGCUUGUUGGUGGGGUAGUGGCUUACCAAGGCUUUGACGGGUAGCCGGCCUUGGAGCGUGACCGGCCACCUUGGGCCUGCGAUACGGCGCAGAAUCCUACGGGCGGCAGCAGUGGGGAACAUUGCACAAUGGGCGGACGCCUGAUGCAGCAACGCCGCGUGCGUGAUGACGGCCUUCGGGUUGUAAACAGCUUUCGACUGUGCCGAAGCGUGAGUGACGGUAAUGGGUAAGGAAGCACCGGCUAACUACGUG